ACUCUGAUGGACAGAGGAGACUGGCGGGCUACAAUCUGUGGGGUUGCAAAGGAUCAGACAUGACUGAGCGACUCACACACAAAAGCAUUUUCUGUGGAUCUCAUUUAAUCCUCAUGAAAGCCCUUUGAGGCUUCAGAUCAGAAACAAUAUCAGAGGAUUGCAAAGAUAGAAAGUUGAGGGGUCAGAUGCAAAUGCAGACAGCUUGACCGGUGGUCCAAGGCCUAUGGUCCUAAUCUCCCUCCAUCCUGCCCAGCUUUCUCUCUACUGCUUUCUGUCUACAUCCACCUGGGUGCAAGGAAGCGUGUGCUUCAUCAGCAGUGAGCAAAUAACUGAGUUAAAAAUAACCUUACCGUUUCUUGCUCUAGUUCUUGAAAGCAAUGGGUAUGAUCAUUUCAUUUUUAAAAGCCCUGCAUUCAGCUUUCUCAGUGCUCAGACAGGCACUGCUGUUUGCUUGCAAGGCACACGCUCCAGGCUUCCCAGAGCUAAAUGUGCGCUGCUCAUCUAAACCAGGAUGCCUGUUCUCUUUCCUGUGCAAAUGUCUUUAAUCCAGCAGCUUCCUGCUGGGCUCCAGGAGCUCCAAUCGCCCCACACCUGGGAAGUUUGCUACAGAUGCCUUACAAGAGCCAGAUUUUAAAGUGCCUGCUAUUUGUUUUGCCUCUCACCUCCAACCAUAAUGCUUUGUUUGCAACACAGUGACUGUUCCACAGCCAGUGAUUCCUCCAUCAUAAACACACGAAAAAUGACUCUGGGAAUGUGGUGAGCAGCAGGAGACAGGAAUUGUGCUGCCAGCCUUUGCCGUGGGCUGUCCUGGCAUCAGAGCCCAGGCUGCAGGGCGGUUGCCUCUCCACCCACCUCUUGCUGCUCACCCAGGAGGCCCAGGCCAAAGCUUAAACCCAACAAAGGACUUAAACCCACAAAAGGACUUGCAUGUCUGCUUUUAACUCCAGUCCAGCUUUGGAGCUUGCUGUGGCUAUAUGGAAGGUUGGUGCCCAAGCCUGGGCAGGAACUGCCAGCUCCAUACAGGUAUCUGGGUCUGCACCCCAUGGGUGGUCUGUCAGGUGAGAUGAGUCUGCCAUCCUGCCCCAUCCUCGCUCGCAUCUCUGUGCAGCCACAGUCACGGGCUCUCUGUGGACUGCUCUGGGUACCAGAGGUCUCUUCGGAAUGAUGCCUCCUUUGAAGAUAGCUACGGGUUAUGUGAAUGAAGUGCCAAGGUCUGUGUUUUCUAAAAAUUCCAAAACCCCACAACUGAAGUUACAUGAUGAUGUCAUCUGGGAUGUCAAAACAGCCUGGAGCACUGGAUUUCAGCCCCUCCACACACCUCACUUCCAGUGAGGGCCCCCCUGGGAAGGGCUGAGCCCAGCCCUGGGACUCCUUGUCUACCACAGAUUUAAGGGGUGGUUGAGAGAGGGUUCCAGGGCUACCCUUGACCUACCUUGUUGCAUGGCCUGAUCUCCUCAGAGUCAGAUUUACUGUUCUAAUGAAUGCUCAUCUCUGCUUUAACUAUCGAGGCUGCUGGGAGAGAGAAGAGCCUAACUGGGCACAGAGCCAGGUCAAAAGGCAAAUCUACUGUCUCCAGUCCCUGCAACAAGGAGUGCCCAGAAAGCAGCAGUAAACCUAAGGGAAAGGAGAACAUUCUGUAUAUUCUUCCAGGACUCCAUGGAGGCAAGAAUACUGGAGUGGAUGGUCAUUUCCUUCUCCUGGAGAUCGUCCCCACCCAGGGAUCAAACCUGGGUCUCCUGCUCAGACUCUUCUCUAAAUGACUGCAGAAUGUCUGACUGAAGAGGCAUCUAAUUACCAGGCCUCCUUGGAGCCCCCAGACCUGGGUAUGGGGCUGGUCCAUCCCCCAAUCCCACUCCUCUUCCAGCCCUCCCUUUCUGAUGCGUGGAAUAUAGACCCCCCCACAGGGGUCUCUCAGGGUUGGACUUCUUGCACCAGCCUGUCUGAGCUGUUAUUCACGCUGAAACCCAGGUUGAGUUAUAGAAUCUGAAGCUCUUUCUGUAAGUUUCAUGAUGGUUCUCAUGGGUUUGCUUACCCCUCUCAGUUUCUCUGACUCUGGCCUGAAUCUGAAUCUAGGCCACAGUCUGAUGAUCAAAGCAACUGGUGCAAGACAAUUGCUUAGAUUUGUUGUUUGCUUCAAAUCUGGAUUACCAGUUACCCUUCUAAUUAAGCCUUUCUGAGGACAGGAUUUAAAAAUUCACAGGUAUCAAAGUCCUUAAAAUCACCAGUCCUGAAACUCUUUCUUUAUAAAACCCUCCUUACAAUCCUGAAGUGAAACUCACCUGUGUACAUAAUUCUUAAAAAAUCACUAUUAUAUCCUUAUUUAUAUAUAAUGAUCCAUGUCACAGUACGGAUGAACCUCAAAAAAAAUAUGCUCAGUAAAAGAAGAGAAACACAAAAGACCAUAUAUACUGUAUGAUUCUAUUUAUGUGAAAUUUUAGAAAAGACGACUCGGGGGGAAAAAAAAAGAAGACAACUCCGUAGAGACAGUAAUCAGAUCAGUGACUUCCUGGGGCUGAAGGUGAGCAUGAAAAUUAACUGCAAAGAGACCAAAGAGAACAUUUUAGGAGGAUGGAAAUGUUCUGAAAUCGCCUUUUGGUGAUGGUAGCCCAACUUAUCAACUUUACCAAAUCACUGGAUUGAUUAAAAACUUGCCUGAAUUGUUAACUCUUUAAAAAUGAGUGGAUUUUAUAGUAUGUAAAAUGAGUGAAGUCUUCUCUUUUAUUUUUUAGAGUUUCACAUAGAAUCAUACAGUAUGUAGUCUUUGUGUUUCUCUAAUUUUUCUUUCUAAUUGAAACUAGAUUUCAAUUAGAAAGAAAAAUAGUUAUGAUUUACAUACUGUAAGUGUACUUUAUCCUUGAUUUACAUGGCAAUUCCGUUUUUUAAAAAUUCAGUGUAUACAGGUUGUGAAAAAAUGAAUCGUGUUCCUAAUUUUUCAAAGAUGGAUUCAUUUUUAAAUCCCAGCGGUUAUUUUUGUUGGUUUUCGGCUGUGCUGUGUUUCUGUUGCCGCGCUCGAGUUUCCUCUGGUUGUGGCGAGCCGGGACUGCUCCCUCGUGGUGCACAGGCUUCUCACUGCGGUGGCUUCUGGCGGUGCACAGGCGCUAGGGUGCUUGGGCUUCAGUAGUUGGUGAGCUUUAGGGCGUGGGCUCAGUAGUUGUGGCACGUGGGCUUAGUUGCCCGGCAGCAUGUGGAAUCUUCCCAGACCAGGGAUCAAACCCGUGUCCCCUGCAUUGGGAGAGGGAAGUCCUGCAUUCAUAUUUAAAGCAGAGCUACAUUCCAGAGUCAGAUAACUGUGAACAAGUUCUUCAGCUCCCUGUGUCCAGUAGCACCUAUGACAGCUGUGUUGGGUAUGGGAUAAUUCUUCACUGUGAGGGACUUUCCUGGACACUGUAGGAUAUCUAACAUUCUUGUGCCCUGCCCACUAAAUUCCAGAAGCAGCCUCUAAUCACUGUGACACUGAAAAAUGCCCUUACAGAAGUCCACAUCAACCCCUAGGAGUUCCUAUUAUGUGACCAGACCUGGUGCUAGAUACUAAGUUAGAGUGGUGAGCAAGGCUUGAUACUGCCCACUGCUCAAACCCCAUCCCUACACCUCAGAGAGGUCUCCUUGCUAAUCUGGAAUCAGAGCAGUUUCUCUCCCUGCUCUUCAUUUUGCUGGGCUGGCAAUACCCUAGCUUCCUAGCAGAUUAGAGUGAUCACAAGUAUCUUUGAAUAGGUCUCUUUCCUGGAGAAAAAGAAGGAAAAGAAACAACACAAACCAGAUGGGUCUAAAUUGAACACUCUUUUCUCGGCACUUAAUUUCCCUUACAUGGAGCACUGAAGGCAUUUUGGCGGCCUUCUGGGAAUACUUCCCAGGCAACGACUGGGGUUUUAACCAUUCGACAGCUAUUAACCAUAUUGAGCCUCACAGGGCUUAGCUCCCCACCCACCACUGAGGAGCUCGAUCGGAAACUACCAUUUACCCUGGGAAAAUGCCCCGUAAGUAUCACCAACCAAUCUUCCCCCAAUAAGGACAGCCCGCAAGCAGUGCUGACAGUGGUGCUCAGAGGGCCUCAUCUGAACAUGCCGAGGAGAACAGAGAAAGACCCAAGAAAGCCCCUUAGAAGCAAAUUCCCCCAUCUUCCCCAGUUAAGAUGUCCAUGCCUCUGUCGUUACAUUUUGUUGGUUGUGCUGUCCCUGAGCAAUCAUGGGGUUAAAGGCAGAUCUGUAGGAGCUGGAAUCACAGACAUUGUUACUAUCAUCUCUUAUAUCUAGUUGGCUAUGGGUCAGGUCUACUCAACGAUGGGUCUUAUAUGUCCAUGGGAUUCUCCAGGCAAGAAUACUGGAGUAGGUUGCCAUUUCCUUCUCUGGGGAAUCUUCCCUACCCAGGAAUUGAACCCAGGUCUCCUGCACUGCAGGCACAUUCUUUACCAACUGAGCUACCAGGGAAGCCAGGAUGUCUAAUGAGCUGUGGGUCAGGUCUACUCAGUGAUGGGUCUUCUGUUCAUCCCACUCUGUGCAUUGCUAGUGUGUAUUUCCUAGAUCAACAGAGUUCACUGCAACUAUUGGAGUUCUGUCAACACUCAGCUGAGGGCACAAAUCCUAACAAUGCUUCUUUCUAAUUGUUGACUUCCAGCAAGUUACUUAAUUUUGAGACAUGGUCAUAACAGUUUAAGGAAGAAACCAGAGACGAAUGAAUGUUAUUGUAAAGAUUAAGUGAGAGUCACAUUACAA